AACGAACGCUGGCGGCAUGCCUAACACAUGCAAGUCGAACGAAGUCUUCGGACUUAGUGGCGCACGGGUGCGUAACGCGUGGGAAUCUGCCCUUGGGUGCGGAAUAACUUCUCGAAAGGGAUGCUAAUACCGCAUAAUGUCGUAAGACCAAAGAUUUAUCGCUCAAGGAUGAGCCCGCGUAAGAUUAGCUAGUUGGUGGGGUAAAAGCCUACCAAGGCGACGAUCUUUAGCUGGUCUGAGAGGAUGAUCAGCCACACUGGGACUGAGACACGGCCCAGACUCCUACGGGAGGCAGCAGUGGGGAAUAUUGGACAAUGGGCGAAAGCCUGAUCCAGCAAUGCCGCGUGAGUGAUGAAGGCCCUAGGGUUGUAAAGCUCUUUUGCCAGGGAAGAUGAUGACUGUACCUGGAGAAUAAGCCCCGGCUAACUUCGUGCCAGCAGCCG
rnacentral:rRNA from 1 species